CGGGAUGGACACACCGCUGGUGUACCAGUUGUUCUGCCAAGAGCAUCGCUGGGUAGCUAUGUGUGGACGGGAUAAACGCUGAAAGCAUCUAAGCGUGAAGCCCCCCUCAAGAUGAGAUUUCCCAUCACUUCAAGUGAGUAAGACCCCUGAGAGAUGAUCAGGUAGAUAGGUUGGGAGUGGAAGUACAGCGAUGUAUGGAGCGGACCAAUACUAAUCGGUCGAGGACUUAACCAA
rnacentral:ncRNA from 1 species